rnacentral:rRNA from 1 species
UACGUAGGGGGCGAGCGUUAUCCGGAAUUAUUGGGCGUAAAGAGUGCGUAGGUGGUUUUUUAAGCGUGGGGUGAAAGGCAAUAGCUUAACUAUUGUAAGCCCCGCGAACUGGGAGACUUGAGUGCAGGAGAGGAAAGCGGAAUUCCUAGUGUAGCGGUGAAAUGCGUAGAUAUUAGGAGGAACACCAGUGGCGAAGGCGGCUUUCUGGACUGUAACUGACACUGAGGCACGAAAGCGUGGGGAGCAAACAGGAUUAGAUACCCUGGGAGUCCCCGCCGUAAACGAUGAGCACUAGGUGUCGGGGCCGCAAGGCUUCGGUGCCGCAGUUAACGCAUUAAGUGCUCCGCCUGGGGAGUACGUACGCAAGUAUGAA